rnacentral:rRNA from 1 species
GACGAACGCUGGCGGCGUGCUUAACACAUGCAAGUCGAACGGAAAGGCCCUGCUUUUGUGGGGUGCUCGAGUGGCGAACGGGUGAGUAACACGUGAGUAACCUGCCCUUGACUUUGGGAUAACUUCAGGAAACUGGGGCUAAUACCGGAUAGGAGCUCCUGCUGCAUGGUGGGGGUUGGAAAGUUUCGGCGGUUGGGGAUGGACUCGCGGCUUAUCAGCUUGUUGGUGGGGUAGUGGCUUACCAAGGCUUUGACGGGUAGCCGGCCUGAGAGGGUGACCGGCCACAUUGGGACUGAGAUACGGCCCAGACUCCAACGGGAGGCAGCAGUGGGGAAUAUUGCACAAUGGGCGGAAGCCUGAUGCAGCAACGCCGCGUGCGGGAUGACGGCCUUCGGGUUGUAAACCGCUUUCGCCUGUGACGAAGCGUGAGUGACGGUAAUGGGUAAAGAAGCACCGGCUAACUACGU